rnacentral:rRNA from 1 species
GGGAAUAUUGCACAAUGGGCGCAAGCCUGAUGCAGCGACGCCGCGUGGGGGAUGACGGCCUUCGGGUUGUAAACUCCUUUCGCUAGGGACGAAGCGUUAUGUGACGGUACCUGGAGAAGAAGCACCGGCUAACUACGUGCCAGCAGCCGCGGUAAUACGUAGGGUGCGAGCGUUGUCCGGAAUUACUGGGCGUAAAGAGCUCGUAGGUGGUUUGUCGCGUCGUUUGUGUAAGCCCGCAGCUUAACUGCGGGACUGCAGGCGAUACGGGCAUAACUUGAGUGCUGUAGGGGAGACUGGAAUUCCUGGUGUAGCGGUGGAAUGCGCAGAUAUCAGGAGGAACACCGAUGGCGAAGGCAGGUCUCUGGGCAGUAACUGACGCUGAGGAGCGAAAGCAUGGGUAGCGAACAGG